GAUGAACGCUAGCGAUAGGCUUAACACAUGCAAGUCGAGGGGCAGCACAAGGUAGCUUGCUAUCUGGGUGGCGACCGGCGCACGGGUGCGUAACGCGUAUGCAACUUGCCCUAUACAGGAGGAUAACCCGUCGAAAGACGGACUAAUACUGCGUAUGCUCACAACUUGGCAUCAAGUGGUGAGGAAAGAAAUUCGGUAUAGGAUAGGCAUGCGUCCCAUUAGCUUGUUGGUGAGGUAACGGCUCACCAAGGCAACGAUGGGUAGGGGAACUGAGAGGUUUAUCCCCCACACUGGUACUGAGACACGGACCAGACUCCUACGGGAGGCAGCAGUGAGGAAUAUUGGUCAAUGGGCGCGAGCCUGAACCAGCCAAGUCGCGUGAAGGAUGACUGUCUUAUGGAUUGUAAACUUCUUUUAUACGGGAAUAACAAGAGACACGUGUGACUCCCUGCAUGUACCGUAUGAAUAAGCAUCGGCUAACUCCGUG
rnacentral:rRNA from 1 species